AGAAGAGCAACAAUGGCCAGACCACAUGGGAAGCAUUUCAGAGCCUAUUUAUGCGGAUGUUGCAAGGCAAAAAAAUGGUCACGAUUGCGGCGUAUAUUUGUUAGAGUUUGCAAGAGUAAUAAUAAAGGAGGGAUGCAUCAACUCAUCGAUAGAAAAUAUAAACAGUGAGGGAAGACGUACGCAGCUAAAAGAGCUUCUUCAGUCCCUGUAACAGUCGACCUGUUUACACACAAUGAAAAACAGGCGUUAUAUAAAUGGUCAAUGCUCGGCACAUUUGUUCAAUUACUUCUUCAUAUAAACUCUGAUUGUGUCAUGAGGUGCAACAUUACUACUACAUAGAAUAAUCGUGGAGUAAAUAUAUAUACUUAAUAACUAAUGAGUACCAGCAUUAUCCAUUGACGUUGAAAAGCUAUAAUAUCGUGCGAGUUAUGAUUUCAACAUUUUAAAAA